CGCAAAGCUGCUGUUAAACGGGUAAAUAGACGUGAUGUCAUUUCAAAAUUACUGUAUACAUGCGGGUUGUUUCUUCAAGACAUGGGUUUAAUCCAGUAAACUACUUGUAAGCAAGAUAAACAGGUACAGAAUAUGAAAGAGAAGACUGGUGAUGAUAACAAGACAAAAAAAGAAAAUAUGUUGUUGUUGUCAAGAAGAUUUUUUCCUGUUCCUCGCAGAAGGGCAGAAACAUACUUGGAUGGAAAAUGUGCAUAAUUUUUGCAUAAGUUUUGUUGACACUUCCAAUUGAUAAUGAAGAAUGCUGCGAAAUAUUGUUUGUUACAAUAUCUGAAUGACUGUAAGAUAUGUUGAGUGAUUGGUAUUCACACAGGUGCUGUUUUAGUGCAAAACAAUACAAGCAAAUGUUGAAUGAACAAACAAGAUUGUGCCAUACCAUAAGGGAGCAGUAUGUUCAGGAUAUUCUAUUUGUAUAAACCCAACGCAACUACAGAUGUAAUGUGGAUAUAUACUAGAAUCAGAUUGUCUGUCUGUCUGUUUGUCUACCCAUUGGAGAUAUUGAAUUAACUUAAUAGAUAGAUCAUGUAUGUUAUUGUUGUGGAAUGUAGUUCCUAGCAACUAUAUCUCUAUUGCCUGUUGCAAUUUGGAAAGAAGAUUGUGUUUAAUAGAUGAAACUGGCUAGGUGUUACUAUUUCAGCAUUUUAAGUAUGAUGUUAGAUCAUAUUACAUGUACGUCAAUUUUUAUAUGCCCAUUUGAAAAACAAGACAUACAAUGGGAACCUCAGGUUGGCAGGCAUUGUCAAAUUAUGUAAGCAUUAUAUUUUGGAUGUCACAAACCAAAAUCAAGGAGUAAAUGACUUCCAAACUUCCACUAACAGAAGCCCUGCCCAUGCAGGGUUUUAAUGAAACUAUCACCUGAUUAAAGGUCAAGGUCACACUUAGAGAUCAUUGAUAAAUGCUUGUUAGGAGCAAAACGUGUGUCAAUAUCACUUCCCAAAUUAAUGUUCAACAUUGUUAGGCGUAGCAUCACAUGCUAAAGGUCAAGGUCACAUACAGAGGUUAAAGUUCAGAUAGAAGUAGGAACCAUUAAGUCAUCAUUUGUUGAGGGAUUGUAACACAUAUGGUCAUUAUUAUGACUAUGCCUGUGACACAGUCAUGUAUGCAAAUUUGUUCAUUUAUAAUAUGCAAGGUCUUGAAGGCCAGUAAAGAUAAUGAAAUAUCCAGAUUUUCUCUGGAGCAUCUAAAUUCUUCUACAUGCAUGGAAAAAUUUCUUUUCAUUUAUGAAAUGAAAUUUAAAACAAACAUUUUGUUCGAUCAAUCGAACAAAAUAUAUAUUUGUUCGAUCGAUCGAACAAAAUGUUUAAUUGUUUUGUACAGCUUGAGAGAGAAUUUUUCCAAUACAGUGUUUUUGAACAGUUUUGUUCGAUCGAUCGAACAAAAUGUUUAUUUUAAUUUUUCAUUUAUUUAACCUG